rnacentral:rRNA from 1 species
AGCGAACGCUGGCGGCAGGCCUAACACAUGCAAGUCGAGCGCCCAGCAAUGGGAGCGGCAGACGGGAGAGUAACACGUGGGAACGUACCUUUUGGUUCGGAACAACUGAGGGAAACUUCAGCUAAUACCGGAUAAGCCCUUACGGGGAAAGAUUUAUCGCCAAAAGAUCGGCCCGCGUCUGAUUAGCUAGUUGGUGAGGUAACGGCUCACCAAGGCGACGAUCAGUAGCUGGUCUGAGAGGAUGAUCAGCCUCACUGGGACUGAGACACGGCCCAGACUCCUACGGGAGGCAGCAGUGGGGAAUAUUGGACAAUGGGCGCAAGCCUGAUCCAGCCAUGCCGCGUGGAUGAUGAAGGCCUUAGGGUUGU